UGAUCCUGCCGAGGUUACUGCUAUCGAGGUUCGACUAAGCCAUGCGAGUCGAAUGUAGCAAUACAUGGCGUACUGCUCAGUAACACGUGGACAACCUACCUUUAGGCCGGGGAUAAACCCGGGAAACUGGGUAUAAUACCCGAUAGUCCUCGACUGUUGGAAUGCAUCGAGGACUAAAGCUCCGGCGCCUAAGGAUGGGUCUGCGGCCUAUCAGGUAGUAGUGGGUGUAGCGUACCUACUAGCAUACGACGGGUACGGGUUGUGAGAGCAAGAGCCCGGAGAUGGAUUCUGAGACACGAAUCCAGUCCCUACGGGGUGCAGCAGGCGCGAAAACUUUUCAAUGCUGGAAACAGCGAUAAGGGGACCUCGAGUGCCAGGUUACAAAUCUGGCUGUCGUGAUGCCUAAAAAGCAUUGCAUAGCAAGGGCCGGGCAAGACCGGUGCCAGCCGCCGCGGUAACACCGGCGGCUCGAGUGGUAACCGUUAUUAUUGGGUCUAAAGGGUCUGUAGCCGGCCGGAUAAGUCUCUUGGGAAAUCUGGCAGCUUAACUGUCAGGCUUUCAGGAGAUACUGUCUGGCUCGAGGCCGGGAGAGGUGAGAGGUACUUCAGGGGUAGGGGUGAAAUCUUGUAAUCCUUGAAGGACCACCAGUGGCGAAGGCGUCUCACCAGAACGGACCUGACGGCAAGGGACGAAAGCUAGGGGCACGAACCGGAUUAGAUACCCGGGUAGUCCUAGCCGUAAACGAUACUCGCUAGGUGUCGGCCACGGUGCGACCGUUGUCGGUGCCGUAGGGAAGCCGUGAAGCGAGCCACCUGGGAAGUACGGCCGCAAGGCUGAAACUUAAAGGAAUUGGCGGGGGAGCACCACAACGGGUGGAGCUUGCGGUUUAAUUGGAUUCAACGCCGGAAA
rnacentral:rRNA from 1 species